UUGUCUUUGUGUGAGCUUCUGCAGGUCCCUUUCAGCAUUGAAGAUCCAGAUUACAAGGGGCUUGAGCUGGAUGUGAUGUCUCCAUGUGAGAAGCACGGCAUGGCAUCUGAGCGGCUUGUUGCCUUUGAAGGAACAGACACAGGCAGGCGGUUUUUAGCAUGUGCACAGCCGGCAGGUAGCAAUUGUGGCUUUGUUGAAUGGGUUGAUCACCAGUGGCCCCCAACAAUGCAGAAUGCAUUGUUGAAGCUAUGGGCAAUGGUUGAAGAUGCCAAAACUGCUAGGGUGAAUGACAAUCUUGAAAGUUCUUUCACUAUCCACCAUCUGACAGAAGAGAAGAACAAGCUGGAUGCCAACUAUGACAAGCUAGUCCAAGAUGUGCAUGAGCUGAUGAACUUCCAGGAAGAUAAGGUGGUGGAUUUCAGACAUCUGCAGUCUGCCAUUACAUAUCAGCAGGAGGUAAGAAAAGAACUGAUUGAUGAUAUGAAGGCACAGAUGGCAAGUGAGAUGGCAAAGAAAGAUGAAGAGACCCAGAAACUUACUCUCAAGUAUGAGCUGCUGCUCAACCUGACAAGAGCUCAAGCAACAGUCAUUCAGAACUUGAAGCUGAACAAAAUGAAAGAGAAGCAAGUGCUUACUGAAGCUAGUAUGAAUUUGGAGCUGAAGAAUGCAGAGCUAACAAAGUGUCAGGAGAAGCUCACCCAAGAGAAGCUAGAGUUGAAGCUUGAGGUUGUUGAUCUGCUUAAGGGAAAUGAAAAGCAUAUUGAAGAGAAGUGGCAGUUAGAGUUUCAGAAUGAAAAGUUGAAGGAGAAGUUCAGGGGGAUUCAGGCCAUCUUGGAGAAGUGA
rnacentral:rRNA from 1 species